UGGCUCAGUUGGUAGAGCAUGGUGUUUGCAACGCCAGGGUUGUGUGUUCAAUUCCCAU
rnacentral:tRNA from 1 species